UACGUAGGGUGCGAGCGUUGUCCGGAAUUAUUGGGCGUAAAGAGCUCGUAGGCGGUGUGUCACGUCGGCCGUGAAAACCUGCAGCUUAACUGUGGGCGUGCGGUCGAUACGGGCAUCACUGGAGUUCGGCAGGGGAGACUGGAAUUCCUGGUGUAGCGGUGAAAUGCGCAGAUAUCUGGAGGAACACCGGUGGCGAAGGCGGCAUCCUGGACCGGUAUUGACACUGAGGCGCGAAAGCCAGGGGAGCAAACGGG
rnacentral:rRNA from 1 species